CUAUAAAAGAGCAACCUCCAAACCAGCAAGGGGCAUCUUCUGAUCAGCUACUCAGCAUCUUCUCCCCUCGCCAGAAACUCUGCAGCUUCUUUCUUUCCUUUCUUUUCAUCUUUUGUGUAUUUAGUCCACCAUGAGUGGCUAAUUUCCUUCUUUUCUAGUUGAAGUUGGUGAAUUUUAGAUUUUGUGAUGAAUUGGGAGAUUUAAAUCUCCAUUGUUAAACUUCUAUUUAUUU
rnacentral:lncRNA from 1 species